rnacentral:rRNA from 1 species
CCUACGGGGGGCUGCAGUGAGGAAUAUUGGUCAAUGGGCGCGAGCCUGAACCAGCCAAGUAGCGUGAAGGAUGACUGCCCUACGGGUUGUAAACUUCUUUUAUAAAGGAAUAAAGUGAGGCACGUGUGCCUUUUUGUAUGUACUUUAUGAAUAAGGAUCGGCUAACUCCGUGCCAGCAGCCGCGGUAAUACGGAGGAUCCGAGCGUUAUCCGGAUUUAAUGGGUUUAAAGGGAGCGUAGAUGGGUUGUUAAGUCCGUUGUGAAAGUUUGCGGCGCAACCGUACAAUUGCAAUUGAUACUGGCAGUCUAGAGUACAGUUGAGGUAGGCGGAAUUCGUGGUGUAGCGGUGAAAUGCUUAGAUAUCACGAAGAACUCCGAUUGCGAAGGCAGCUUACUGGACUGCCACUGACGUUGAUGCUCGAAAGUGUGGGUAUCAAACAGGAUUAGAUACCCGAGUAGUC